rnacentral:misc_RNA from 1 species
UACAGAGGGUGCGAGCGUUAAUCGGAUUUACUGGGCGUAAAGCGUGCGUAGGUGGCCUGAUCAGCCGGUUGUGAAAGCCCCGGGCUCAACCUGGGAACGGCAUCCGGAACUGUCAGGCUAGAGUGCAGGAGAGGAAGGUAGAAUUCCCGGUGUAGCGGUGAAAUGCGUAGAGAUCUGGAGGAAUACCGAUGGCGAAGGCAGCCAUCUGGCCUAAUACUGACGCUGAGGUACGAAAGCAUGGGGAGCAAACAGG